GAGCAAAGUUCCCGGCUUCUUUCUUCCUCUCGCUGCUGAUGGCAAAGCCAGAGGGUGACUGGUGACUCCUGCCCCGGCACGACCUCGGAAUCCAGCAAGACACAGCAGCUGCCAGCCGCUGGGGGAAGUGCCAAGGAAAACACUCAGAAACAGGAGCGUGGGGAGCCCAGGGGUGAUGACGCGAGCAGAGCUCAGCCACACAACUCUCAAGGCUGGGAGGCAGUGGAUGAGCAGGAAGGGGUCCAGGAAGCGGAGCGAAACCCCCCCCCCCAGCAAACCACACGGCCCGACCGCCACGGAGAGACCACUGUCAGCAAGCCUCAGGCACGCUCACCCCCCAUUCCACCCAGUACACAAGACCACCACCAUUUAAGGAAAGCUCUGUGCGGGGAGGACACAGCAGAGACAGGAAGCAUCAGCUCAAGGGACGUGGGGUCCCAGCCUGGGAAGAAACCUCAAAAGAUCCUCGGGGGGCCUCGGGCUGGCGCAGUGGAUGAGAGUCCACCUGUCAACGCAGGGGACACGGGCUCGAGUCCUGGUCUGGGAAGAUCCCACGUGCUGCAGAGCCACUCAGCCCGUGAGCCACAGCUACCCAGCCUGCGCUCCGGAGCCCGGGAGCCGCGAGUACUGAGGGCCACACUCGAGGGCUCCAUCCUCUGCAACAAGAGAAGCCCCCGAAACCAGAAGCCUGGGCACCACGACGACAGGCUAGCUGCCGCUCCCCGCGACGAGAGAAAGCCCCAGGACAGCAACACAGGUCUGUGCUGCGCGCAGUCACUCAGCUGUGUCCGACUCUGAGACCCUGCGGACUGCAGCCGCAGGCUCCUCUGUCCACGGGAUUCUCCAGGCAAGAAUGCUGGAGUGGGUUGCCACGUCAUCCUCCAGGGGAUCUUCUCUCUUAAGUGUCCUGCACUGGCAGGCGGGUUCUUUACCUUUGGCGCCACCUGGAAAGCCCCAACAAAGACCUAGCAGAGUCAAAAAAUCAAAGAAAGGAAAAAACAUCCUUGAGAGCAAGAGAAGAUUCAACAACUGUGAAACAGCAACAGGCCCGGCCAGAAAUUAUAAUCACAGAGAGAAUUUUCCAGUGGCCCAGGGGUUCAGAGUCAGUGCUUUCACAGCCGAGGGCCUGAUUCAACCCCUGGCUGGGGAACUAAGAUCCCACAAGUCACACAGUGUGGGGAAGAAAAAGUAUAUACAAACAUAUUUUAACAUUUACAUAUGUAUAGUAUAUACAUACACAUUUUAACAGAAAUAACCCCUGGAGUCCGCCGCGAACUCUCCAGGCUGAGUUGAGCUCCCUGAAACCUGAACAGAGGCCCUCGCCAGGCUCCUCGGCAGACCAUGUUUCUCCUGCGUCCUCCCCUGCAGAGGGGCUCGCUGGGCAAGACUGAGGACUCAGCGCAGAGAAAAACAAGAAACCGUCUCAACAGGCUCAGACGGUGCCCCAUAGAGGGACUGCGGGACGAAGAAGAAAAUGGGAUAAAAGUAUAAGAGAAAGAAAAUAGGAGAGAAAAGAUUCUAAAGGACAACAAUUUCCAACCCAGACUGCAAAACUCAAGACGAGGUCAAGGACGAACGUGAGCAAAGACUGUCAGACGUGCGGUGUCUCCAGAAGUUACCUCCGCAAACCCUUCACAGGAGCCGACCGGAGGAGAAACUCCACCACAACAGCGACAGGCAGAGGAAGGCACAGGGUCCGGGAGAGAGGAGGUCCCACACACCAGCAAGACAGAGGGUGACCCCAGGAAGACAGAGUGGCAGGCCAGACCGCAGCUGGCCAGGGUGUCCAGGGAGACAGCGCCAAGAAAGGGACAGAACCGAUGUGUCAGGGCGUACAGAGGGGAGACAGGACCCAGCUGGUGGGGAGACGUGCAGGCUGAAUACGUAAGCCAUAUAGAAAACUGGAUGGAAAAACAAGACAACGUUCAAGCCCAUGGAAAAGAGUCAUGCAGAUAAGAAAGUGGGGUGCAGUUCACUGCCAGUUCAGCUCUGAAGGGUGUGCGGCCCAUCACAGUGCCACAGUGCUGGGAGGAGGCAGGUGGGGAGGCAGGGUGCAGGGCUAGCGGGAGAGGCACCUCCCCCUUCCAGCAGGAGUUAAAUGAAGACCCCCCAGACUAGAAGGAUGGAGACAGAGUCCUAGAAAGCUAUUUAGGGAGACGAAGCUAAGAGACAGUCGUUCUCUCGAGCGGGGACCGUGAGGGGACACGAGGCGCCCGUGACUCACGGGGUAGACCCCGCUGACCAGUGAGCCGUCCUUACCCAGUGCCCCCAGCACUGCCCCCUGCGGCUGAGGAGGAAAGGUCGCCCGCCUCACCCUCCCACACGCCUAUCCCAGGCACCUGCAUGCAGACAGCUGGGGUGGAGUCCGCCAGUUUGCACACACAAGCCAUGCUGCCUGGGCGAGACCUGGCGGGUCAGCCUCAGAGCAGCCUGCGCCCCAGCACAGAUGGGCUUCUGUGCCCAGACAUCCAGGGUCAGGGUCGCCACCCCCCUGCCCCCAGCACAGUGAUCUCACAGAUGUGCGUGCGCUCCGGAUCCGGGGACCGGGCCGAAGAGCCUGGCGGCUCCGCAGGACGUCCUCACCCAGAGCCACUGUGCUGGCUGCCCGGGACGCCAGCUGCCCCUGGAGUCCGCUGAGGACUCUCCAGGCCGACAGUCAAGUUCCCCGGAACCUGAGCCAGAGGCCCUCGCAAGAAUCCUCAGGCACCCCAUGUUUCUCCUGCGUCCUCCUCUGCAGAGGGGCUUGCUGGGCAAGACUAAGGACUCAGCGCCGAGAAGAACAAGAAACUGAUGCCUCAACAGGCUCGAACAGUGCCCAGCGAUGAACCGUCCCUAGCAGCCAGCCAUCCUCCCCAGCGCAUCAUGAAGCAAUGCCUUUCCCCUCUCAGAGACACUGGCCAGACCAAUUUCUUGCUGCUCACCGGAAAUGCACCCUGGCUCUGCAAGUUCAAGGCUGACUUGGUCCACAGAAGCCGCAGCUGGCAACCCUCAGUGACCUGGCUUUCCUUCCUGGCUGGGACCCUGGCCUAUCCCCGCUCUGCCUGUGGCCUCUUAUCACUUCCCUCCCUCAGAGGCGGCCUCCCCCUACCCCGCCCCCGGUCACACCCAGCACGGUUCUGCAUUCAUUUAAACGUUUUUACUGUUUGAUACAAGUUUUUUUUUUUUUGGCCGAGCCUCACGGCUUGUGGGAUCUUAGUUCCCCGACCAGGAGUUGAACCCGCACCCCCUGCAGUGGAAGCAUAGAGUCCUCAGUUCAGUUCAGUUCAGUCACUCAGUCGUGUCCGACUCUUUGCGACCCCAUGAAUCGCAGCACGCCAGGCCUCCCUGUCCAUCACAAACUCCUGGAGUUUACUCAAACUCAUGCCAUCAAGUCAGUGAUGCCAUUCAGCCAUCUCAUCCUCUGUCGUCCCCUUUUCCUGCUGCCCCCAAUCCCUCCCAGCAUCAGGGUCUUUUCCAAUGAGUCAGCUCUCUUCUUAUAAGGUGGCCAAAGUAUUGGAGCUUCAGCUUCAGCAUCAGUCCUUCCAAUGAACACCCAGGACUGAUCUCCUUUAGGAUGGAGUGGUUGGAUCUCCCUGCAGUCCAAGGGACUCUCAAGAAUCUUCUCCAACACCACAGUUCAAAAGCAUCAAUUUUUCGGCGCUCAGCUUUCUUCACAGUCCAACUCUCACAUCCAUACAUGACCACUGGAAAAACCAUAGCCUUGACCAGACGGACCUUUGUUGGCAAAGUAAUGUCUCUGCUUUUUAAUAUGCUAUCUAGGUUGGUCAUAACUUUCCUUCCAAGGAGUAAGCGUCUUUUAACUUCAUGGCUGCAGUCACCAUCUGCAGUGAUUUUGGAGCCCCCAAAAAUAAAGUCUGACACUGUUUCCACUGUCUCCCCCAUCUAUUUCCCAUGAGGUGAUGGUACCAGAUGCCAUGAUCUCAGUUUUCUGAAUGUUAAGCUUUAAGCCAACUUUUUCACUCUCCUCUUUCACUUUCAUCAAGAGGCUUUUUAGUUCCUCUUCACUUUCUGCCAUAAGGGUGGUGUCAUCUGCGUAUCUGAGGUUAUUGAUAUUUCUCCCAGCAAUCUUGCUUCCAUGGCGUCCUAACCACUCAUAUUUAGUGAAACUGCAGACUCUUCACAAGAGGGGGGUGGGCGCCACCCGGCUUCACUCCCCACAUGUGGUCUCUGAACUGGGCACUUGUCAUAAACAGCAGCACAACAAGAGCUUUGGGACAUUUCUGAUUAUUUUCCAAGGUGGACUCUCGCUAGUAGGCGAUUCAGUUAGGAACGCAGGACUUACUCCCUAAGUAAUGUGAGCUCACUGCGAGACACUCACAGAGCAGGAGUAAACAGCAGGCGGGCGAGCAGUCACCGUGCCGCUGUCACCAACGCUACUGUUGGCUGGAGGUCUUCAUGGACUUUCUCAAUGCACAUGUUUUUUUUACACAAAAAUAGAAUCGUCAGACAGACUUGGUAACUGACAUUUUUAUUCAACAGUGUGCUGUGAGCACUUCUCCGUGGGAGGCAAGAUCCCUCCUCACUGCCCAUGUCCGGCAAACCUCACGGUAAACCCCCGGCCAUGUCCUCAAGGCGCAGAGGCCUCUGAGACACUAGGCAUGUAGCUCACGCGUCUCUCUCUCUCUUACUCUUUUAUAAUUUCUCUUGGGUCGCGCCGGGGCUCUGUGGCCGUGUGGGCUUUUUCUAGUGGUGGUGGCUGCUCUGACUGAGGAGCGCAGGCUCUAGGCUCCCGGGCUCCGGAGCACAGACUCAGCAGCUGUGGCACACGGGCUCAGUUCCCCUGAAGCAUCUGGGACCUUCUCGGACCAGGGAUUGAACCUGUGUCUCCUGAGUUGGCAGGCGGAUUCUUAAUCGCGAGGGAAGCCCUUCUCUUUCUCUUAUUAAAAACCAGGGACUGUUAAGAUGUGAUUGUGUCCCAAGCCUGGCAGGCAGAGCUCCGAGCUCCCCAUCCCAGGACGCCGUGCGGUGUUCCUGUGCGAGGUCGCUCACUGGGCUGUGUGGAGGGAUUGAGCCCACUGUGCCCCAGGUGCAGUGAGAAGAAUCUGAUUUCAUUACCCCAAGGCCUUGUACUGUGAUGUCAAGAGGGAACAUGAGUCUUCAGAACACGCCAAGACUCUCGGAAGCAGGCCCCAGGUUGGACCUGUAGAGUUUGGCUGUGGGGUGUGGCUGCCACCUCCUUCUGCUAUCUUGUCCCCGCCUGAGUGACCUAUGCCAGCCAUGCGGGGGGUGGGCGUGUAUGGAGCUGCAUCCAGGGUUGCCCACGUGCCCUGGCUGGUAGUAGAGAGGGUGAGGACCACUUUACCUGUGAGGUCCCAGCCGGGCAGGGUCCCUUCUCACUCUAACGCCUCUCCAAAGCAAGCCUCACUGCCCUGAGCUGUAAACUUCUCUGAGACCUGGUUGUGUAAAGUAGCAUCAACUUAUGUCCCCACCGGCACCACCUGUGAGCAUGACCUUCUCAUGGGAUUACCUGUUACCAUGCUUGCAGGUUUGUAUUUUUCAGUUGUUGUUCAUAAAGCUAAACAUACCUAGAGUAGUUGAAUU